AUGAAAUAAAAAAAAUCAAUAUGUAUCAAAACAUAAUUUGAAGCAGUGAACCAUAAAUGUUUUUGACUAUUAUAACCCCCUUGUUUUGUUUGUUAUGUUCAUUUCGUAUUUAUUUCAUGAUAGCAGGUUCACACUAUAUCGGUAUCUCAUGAAUUAAAUACAAAAUGUACCACUCGGUGUCACCAACUGUUGGGACAAAAGCAAUUUUAUAUAAUUAAAGUCAGUAUUUUUAAUUUGAAUUGUGGAAAUCACCUUCUUAUGAAUUCAGAAAAGCAAAAUCUCUUGUAAUUCAAGUUCCCUUGGGAAAUGAAAAAUUCAAAAAUAUCCCAUCACAGUACCUCAUAUGAACUAGGGUCAUUGACCAACUAAAGGGAAUGGCCACAACGGUAAUCUCUGUUUUUACAGUAAAUGAGUUAAUUUAUUCUACAUUAGAGGUACGAAUUGGGGAGAUGAUUAGAAUAGCAGAUAAUAUACCAGUUGACCUUCACACACAACUUUUUGUAUGGAAUUUUUAUCUACUAGCUUUCAACUAUCAAUUCUGAUAUCAUACACGAUUUAUCAUAUCUGCAUAUCAAUGCGCAUCAUCAAACCCCAGGGACAAAUGGACGGUUAUUUGAUUAUAGUUGGAUACACAGAUGGUAGUAAUAUUUUUCUAUUAAAUCAUAACAAAUAUUUUCAUUAUCAGCUAUUCUUAUUAAUUCUGUAGCUCAACAGGAAAUAAUCUUUCAGUCUUUAAAGUGUCAUAACACUGCAAAAAGUUAAAGGUCAGGUGAAACAUAUUUGACCUUAUAAUGGGUGCAUGCAUUUAACUUUAAAAUGCUUUUAAAAAUACAUGCAUAGUUCAGGGUUAUGGGGUAAUAGACUGCCAUUUUGUAACAGGCUAUGAUACUAAUUUGUGAUCUUUUACAUUUGUAGAUUUUGGAAGUUAUUGUAAGGAUACAGGAUAGAUAUAAAUUUCGGCCUUACGAACAUUCCAAUAUAUUUCCUGUGGAUAUGAAGUCUCUGAAUGUUAGGGAAAUUGGACAUCCAUGGAACAACUCAAUAAUUAAAAUAAAACCAGUUGCAUAGAGGAUAAAGCCUCUUAUGCGUUUUUGGAGUUCAAUGUCCUGACUGUUUUUUUUUUAAUGACUUAAGAAAAAUAACAAGCUGAUAAAUUAUGACAACUAAAUAAUUGAUUUAAGUCCAUC
rnacentral:lncRNA from 1 species